UGAGAUGGGAGACGGCGACAGCGGCAUUCACUCACUUUUACAAUCCUCGCUCCUUCCGCAAACGUCCUUGCCUUCGUCUCCCCUUUCCCCUUCUCAUUUCCUUCCCCCGUCUCCCACAGAACUUCUUGGACACGCCGGCAUUCCCUCCGCUCCCCUCUCUGAUUCGGUUCCGGGUGGGUCGAUUCCGUCGUGGUUGGUCUCGGACACCCGAUCGGCCCUUCCCAGAUCCUGCGCUUCUGCUCUCUUUCGUUUACAUUAUCUCCGCCAUCUCGUUGGUCUGGAGUCCAACUUCUUGUACUUGGAAUCAGAAAAAUCUUGUCUUGCAUAAUUGAGUAUUUCAAGCACAUACUGAAACUGUAAAUACAUCUUUCCUGUAAGGCCUUCCAAGUGCAUAAUGUCCAAUUCUGCAAAAUACAUUGAUCCUGCAUUUCAGGGAGUUGGACAAAAAGUAGGAACAGAGAUCUGGCGGAUUGAGGAUUUUCAACCAGUGCCUUUGCCAAAGUCUGACAAUGGUAAAUUUUACUCUGGAGAUUCAUACAUAAUUUUACAGACAUCUUCAGGCAAAAGUCGUGGCUACCUCUAUGAUAUUCAUUUCUGGAUUGGAAGGGAGUCAAGCCAAGAUGAAGCUGGGACUGCAGCAAUCAAAACAGUUGAACUUGGUGCAGUUCUUGGAGGUCAUUCUGUCCAGCACAGGGAACUUCAAGGCUUUGAAUCUGACAAGUUUUUGUCAUUCUUUAAACCUUGCAUUAUACCUUUGGAAGGAGGAUUUGCAUCUGGAUUUAAAAAGCCUGAAGAGGAAAAGUUUGAAACACGAUUAUAUGUUUGUAAAGGAAAACGAUUUGUCAGAAUGAAGCAGGUUCCAUUUGCUCGGUCAUCUCUGAAUCAUGAUGAUGUGUUUAUCUUGGAUACUGAAAAGAAAAUAUAUCAGUUCAAUGGUGCUAACUCUAAUAUCCAAGAAAGAGCUAAAGUUUACAAUAUUUGAAGGACAAGUACCAUGAAGGAACAUGUGAUGUUGCUAUCAUUGAUGAUGGAAAGCUCCAAGCUGAGUCAGACUCCGGUGAAUUCUGGGUUCUUUUUGGUGGCUUUGCACCAAUUGGCAAAAAAGUAGUCAGUGAAGAUGACAUCAUUCUGGAAGCCGGUCCUGCAAAACUCUAUAGCAUUAAUGAUAGUUGAAGUUGGAAGAGAACACACUUUCUAAAGCAAUGUUGGAGAACUAUAAAUGCUAUCUACUUGAUUGUGGGGCUGAGAUAUUCAUUUGGGUUGGUCGGGUGACACAAGUUGAAGAGAGAAAAGCUGCCAGCAAAGCUGCUGAGGACUUCAUCAUCAAUCAAAACAAACCAAAAACUACACGCAUCACUCAAAUUAUCCAAAAUUAUGAAACACAUUCAUUCAAGUCCAACUUUGAAUCAUGGCCAGCUGGUACAGUAACAGUAACAGGAACUUCUAGUGGAGAGGAAGGACGAGGAAAAGUUGCUGCUUUGUUAAAGCAACAAGGUGUUGAUCUUAAAGGAAUUUCAAAAGGCUCUCCAAUAAGUGAGGAAGUUCCUUCUUUGCUUGAAGGCAGUGGAAAACUUGAGGUUUGGCAUAUUAAUAUGGUAGCGCCAAGAACCCAGUUCCUAAGGAAGAGAUUGGUAAAUUUUAUAGUGGUGAUUGCUAUAUCAUGCUUUACACAUAUCAUUCUAGUGAGAAGAAAGAGGACUACUUUUUAGCCUGUUGGAUGGGAAAGGAUAGUAUUUGGGUAAUUGGCAAUGAGCAAACCUUUGUUGAGGAAGGAAAAGAAAAAUUCUUCUUUUCUUGGCACGUAUUUUCGGAGAGUUUUAUGCCUAUUUUAGGCAUACUGCUUAAUACGUCGCUCGAUAUGCCAAUAUGUAGGACUACUUUAGGCAUCAGCCCUAGGUUGGCAGCCAGUGGAUUGCUGCCACCACAAGUGGUGGUACUGGUCCAUGGGCUAUGUUACCAGUGCAACAAUGGCAGUGACAAUGGCCCACUAAGGGCUACAGUAACUAGCUUUGAUUGUGGCCUCUUCACUGAGAUGAUGCCAACAUCGGCAAUGGCCAUCUACAAGACCAUUGUCGUUGUGGUUGCAGUGGUGACUUGUCAGGUUGCCAUUAUCAACAGGUCACUGACAGCCUCUUGUGAGUUGCUAUUGCCAGCACUGACUAGGGAACAGAUAUGGAGGAUGGCAAUAUUAAAGGCUAAGGACCAAGGAAGACUGGAGGGCUCGAGGGGGCUUGGCAAUGGCAUUCUUCUAGGAAACAAGGUGGCAACAUCAUUAAGUUCCAGCGAUUGUUUCAUUUUGCAAUCUGGAAAUUCACUAUUCAUAUGGAAUGGAAGUUCAAGUACUUUCGAACAGCAGCAGUGUGCUGUACAAAUUGCAGAACUUUUAAAGCCAGGUGUUGCACUGAAGCAUGUCAAUGAGGGAACAGAAAACUCUGCUUUCUGGUUUGCUCUUGGUGGUAAGCAAAGUUUUACCGGCAAAAAGAUCACACAAGACAUUGUUAAAGAUCCUCAUUUGUACACGUUUUCAUUUAAGAAAGGCUGGUUCAAUCACGAAAGAAAAUUAGAGGUUACUGAGGUUUUCAAUUAUUCUCAAGAUUAUUUGUUAACCGAAGACAUGUUGGUACUUGACACCCAUGCCGAGGUCUUUAUUUGGAUUGGACAGUCGGUGGAUUCCAAGGAGAAGCAAAGUGCGUUUCAUAUAGGACAGAAAUACAUAGAUCUUGCAGUGUCACUGGAAGGUUUAUCCCCACAUGUGCCACUUUAUAAGAUCACGGAGGGUAAUAAACCUUCUUUCUUCACGGCGUAUUUCUCUUGGGACAAUGCAAAAUCUAUGGUUCAAGGUAAUUCUUUUCAGAAGAAGCUAUUGCAUUUGUUUGUUACCGCUAUGCAUGCUUCAGAGCACUAUAGUAGAACUACAGUACUCGGCAUAUCUGAGUGUACCGCUCGGUAUACCGUACUGUACCGGUACCGAGCCUAGGUCGAAACAUCGGUACGAUACGGUAUUGCGAACAUUUUUAAACCAUCUUCAAAUGCUAAAACAUCAGCACCAAAGCCAUCAUGAUCAAACCAAGGGUCACGGCGAGCAGCUGCAGUUGCUGCACUGUCUUCCGUUCUAACUGCUGAGCAAAAGAAGGGAGAAUCAGAAACCUCUACGACAAGAUUCAGCAGAAGCCCUUCCCCUGGGCAGACUGUAAAUGAUUCUGCAAAGAUUGAAAGUGCAGGCUCGGAGUUGGGUGAUCCUUUUGAGGUUUCAGCGGAGAAGGAAAUCACAGAAGCAGAUAGCUCCGUAUCAGAGAGCAAUGGUGCUACCUUCAGCUAUGAUCGUCUGAAAGCGAAGUCCAUCAAUCCAUUCAGAGGAAUUGACUAUAAACAAAGAGAGGCCUACUUAUCAGAAGCCGAGUUCCACAAGGUUCUGGGUAUGACCAAAGAAGCAUUUUAUCGACGACCCAAAUGGAAACAGGACAUGCAGAAAAGAAAGGUGGAUCUCUUCUAAGCUUUCCCGGCCUGGUGCCAUGGAUCUUAUCCAGCUUAACGAUGUGUUUGCUUGUGUGCUAUCUUUCCUCUCCAAUUUAUUGGUUCCUCGUGGAUUUGCAGUCAUGUCGGGAGCGGUCUUCUUGCUUUGGUUUUUUUGUUGAUGAGCGACAUUUGUUUGCUUGGGUAAGUUUCGGAGUUGGUAGGCAUUCUUUUAUUUCUAGCAAUCAUCCCGAGUUUGGCUGCUCAAGCAUAUAGUCGUCGUGCGUACAUGUUUUGUGUUUGAUACAUAUGGAUCAUGUAUGCUUAGGUAAAUAUGUGCAUUGAAUCGAUGACAAGGUCAAGUUGGGGUUGAAUGCAAUAUCUUAUCCCAA